UCUCCCCCCUGAUCCGAGGGUCAGCCUGCAGAGGGCAGAGUCACCGGUGCCCAGCUGUCACUCUGUGAAGAGUGACUGCUCCAUGGAGCGUCCCAUUACGUUCAGUUGUGGACAUCUCCCCCCUGAUCCGAGGGUCAGCCUGCAGAGGGCAGAGUCACCGGUGCCCAGCUGUCACUCUGUGAAGAGUGACUGCUCCAUGGAGCGUCCCAUUACGUUCAGUUGUGGACAUCUCCCCCCUGAUCCGAGGGUCAGCCUGCAGAGGGCAGAGUCACCGGUGCCCAGCUGUCACUCUGUGAAGAGUGACUGCUCCAUGGAGCGUCCCAUUA